GACGAACGCUGGCGGCGUGCUUAACACAUGCAAGUCGAACGGAAAGGCCCUGCUUUUGUGGGGUACUCGAGUGGCGAACGGGUGAGUAACACGUGAGUAACCUGCCCUUGACUUUGGGAUAACUUCAGGAAACUGGGGCUCAUACCGGAUAGGAGCUCCUGCUGCAUGGUGGGGGUUGGAAAGUUUCGGUGGUGGGGGAUGGACUCGCGGCUUAUCAGCUUGUUGGUGGGGUAGUGGCUUACCAAGGCUUUGACGGGUAGCCGGCCUGCGAGGGUGACCGGCCACAUUGGGACUGAGAUACGGCCCAGACUCCAACGGGAGGCAGCAGUGGGGAAUAUUGCACAAUGGGCGGAAGCCUGAUGCAGCAACGCCGCGUGCGGGAUGACGGCCUUCGGGUUGUAAACCGCUUUCGCCUGUGACGAAGCGUGAGUGACGGUAAUGGGUAAAGAAGCACCGGCUAACUACGUG
rnacentral:rRNA from 1 species